UUGAUGUCGAAAACUGUUUGGCUUUCUUGUACUUUGCGCUCUUUGUCUUGUCUGGUGGUUUGAUAAGAUCUCCCAUCGUGUAAAUUUGAUUGCUCAACAACAUUGAAAUUUCAAAUAUUCAUGAUAUAAAUAGCAACGUAUAAAAUGGAAACUAGGAAACUGCCAUUGACAUGUGAGAUGUAUUCACUUAUUCAUGACCAUACUUUUCUCUAGUGUGGUCCUUACCACAAAACUGUUUGACAUUACAUGUAUUUAUAGCUGGUACUCCGGUUAAUUGUUCGGCAAAUAGCUUUUGUAUUGAGGUUCUUCUGUAGUUCAGAUCAACCACAUUUUUUGUGUGCUUAUAAUUGAUUUGGUCUGAAUAUACUGAUAUACUGGAGCACUUCUAUUUUUGUAGUAUGGCCUUAACUGCACUACGCAUUGAGCCAAAUUUUGCGAUGCCCUACUCAGCUAAAGUGGAUGAGGGCUCUUUCCGUUGUUUGGACCAAUUCCUUGGUGGCCACGUUGGUCAUGUCGCUCACAAUUCCACCAGCAAUGGUUGCUGACAUGGUCACCCAUUGUCGACAUUGGUUUUCUCCGGUAACUAAUUCUUCGCACCUCAUAUUAGCUAAUUGCAGGCACAAUGAACAUGCUGGGAGUCUUUUCACUGCGUGCAUGCAUGCCGACCUGCUCCAGGCCAAGUCCCCCGCUCUGUUUUGGACAGUGUGGUGCAACUGAAGACGACGAAGAUGGGUGGUGAUGGCGGACCACAGAGCGCUGCUCCGUGUCUCUUCACCACCCUAAAGCGCUGCUCCACCUCUCUUCACCGCCCUGGAGGUCUGUACCAGCUGUCGAACGACACAGUCGCAGGCGCGAUCCUGUUGCUCCGCGUCCACCCGUGAUGCUCUGUGCCUGUCAUGUUCUUCUAGCUGGGAGCAGAGUAGCUGGUGCGUUUGUAUUUUGAGGUAUAGUCCACCGCGAUGUGCCGUGUGCGUGUGGAAGCUGCGGAAGCUUCAUCCUUCCUCCCUCUGGGUUUGCGAGCAAGUGCUCGGUUGGCGCGUCAGGAAGGUGUGAUCAUGGGGCAUGCCCCUGUUUUCUAAAUGUUUGGCGCGUUGGGAAGGUGGGGUCAUGGGGCAGACCCCUGUUUUCUAAAUGUUUGUUUGUGACAUUCAGGUGAUUCCAAUUGACUACGUAUAUCCAUGUAUGUCAUUGCCUAGCUAUCUAACAUUAUAUCUACUCCACUAUAUAUACAUACCAGAGAGUUAGGAUGCUUCAAAACCAGUUCGAAAAAUACAGUUGUGGAGGAAGUGGUUAUUUGCUGGAGAAGAUGGCGUGCGAGUUGGUGAAUGAUGCCUUUUUUAGCUACAACCUGUUGUAACUCAAGCUUAGAUCCAAAGCAGAGCCGUUGGAACUCAGUGUUAGACUGAGGAAAAGGAGGUUGAAA